CUCGGUCGGGUUAAACAAACGGAAAGAGCUUACGGUCAAUUAACGGCGAAAAGUGAAUAAAUAAAACGGACCGCGCGCGUUUGAGUCUGUCCGUCAUCGAGUUAAAACGCGAACGAAAUUCGUGCACGUAUUAAUGUCGAUGCCCCGCGUGUCGGCCGAAACCGAAAAUUGCGCGCGUUCUUGUUCGGUCGAAAACGCAGCGCUCG